rnacentral:rRNA from 1 species
CCUACGGGAGGCAGCAGUGGGGAAUAUUGGGCAAUGGGCGAAAGCCUGACCCAGCAACGCCGCGUGAAGGAAGAAGGCUUUCGGGUUGUAAACUUCUUUUCUGAGGGACGAAGAAAGUGACGGUACCUCAGGAAUAAGCCACGGCUAACUACGUGCCAGCAGCCGCGGUAAUACGUAGGUGGCAAGCGUUCUCCGGAUUUGUUGGGUGUAAAGGGCGUGUAGGCGGGAAAGCAAGUCAGAUGUGAAAACCCAGGGCUCAACCCGGAGCCUGCAUUUGAAACUGUUUUUCUUGAGUGCUGGAGAGGCAAUCGGAAUUCCGGGUGUAGCGGUGAAAUGCGUAGAUAUAAGGAGGAACACCAGUGGCGAAGGCGGAUUGCUGGACAGUAACUGACGCUGAGGCGCGAAAGCGUGGGGAGCAAACAGGAUUAGAUACCCGAGUAGUC